rnacentral:rRNA from 1 species
CGUGUAGGCUGCUCGAUAAGUCGGAUGUGAAAGCCCUGGGCUCAACCUAGGAAGUGCAUUCGAAACUGCCGAGCUGGAGUCCCGGAGAGGAAGGCGGAAUUCUCGGUGUAGAGGUGAAAUUCGUAGAUAUCGAGAGGAACACCGGUGGCGAAGGCGGCCUUCUGGACGGCGACUGACGCUAAGACGCGAAAGCGUGGGGAGCAAACA